rnacentral:rRNA from 1 species
UACGGAGGGUGCAAGCGUUAUCCGGAUUCACUGGGUUUAAAGGGUGCGUAGGAGGGCAGGUAAGUCAGUGGUGAAAUCUCCAAGCUUAACUUGGAAACUGCCGUUGAUACUAUCUGUCUUGAAUGUCGUGGAGGUUAGCAGAAUAUGUCAUGUAGCGGUGAAAUGCUUAGAUAUGACAUAGAAUACCCAUUGCGAAGGCAGCUAACUACGCGAUAAUUGACGCUGAUGCACGAAAGCGUGGGGAUCAAACAGG